rnacentral:rRNA from 1 species
CCUACGGGAGGCAGCAGUAAGGAAUCUUCCACAAUGGACGAAAGUCUGAUGGAGCAACGCCGCGUGCAGGAUGAAGGCUUUCGGGUCGUAAACUGCUUUUAUAUGGGAAGAUUAUGACGGUACCAUAUGAAUAAGGACCGGCUAACUACGUGCCAGCAGCCGCGGUAAUACGUAGGGUCCAAGCGAUAUCCGGAAUUACUGGGCGUAAAGCGUGUGUAGGUGGAUUAAUAAGUGUGAUGCGAAAUCCGGCGGCUCAACCGUUUGGACUGUGUCGCAUACUGUUAGUCUAGAGGACGGCAGAGGUAAGUGGAAUUACGGGUGUAGCAGUGAAAUGCGUAGAUAUCCGUAGGAACACCAAUGGCGAAGGCAGCUUACUGGGCCACACCUGACACUGAGACACGAAAGCGUGGGGAGCGAACAGGAUUAGAUACCCUGGUAGUCCACGCCGUAAACGAUGCAUACUAUUAGUAUGGGGUAUCGACCCCCUGUGCUGAGAAGCUAACGCGAUAAGUAUGCCGCCUGGGGAGUACGAGCGCAAGCUUAAACUCAAAGAAUUGACGG